rnacentral:lncRNA from 1 species
GGAAGGAAUGUCUCAGAAAACUCAUCACAAACAACUCACCGCUCCACUUCAGAAAUUCGCCCGGAGGUUUGUUCCGAUGGGGGAGCGUGGCGGCGCGACAUCGGCAGGUUCGACCCAGAUGCGACUACAACAACAACAACCUCUUGCAGCCUAAUCCACACCCUCAAGGUGCCGCCACGAAGAACGGCCAGCAACGACGAUGAUGGCAGCGGCUUGGGGUCGUCAAAUUCGUGGAAUUCAUGCCGAAUUGGUUGUCGGAAUUGGUGAUUGAGUCAGGUGCUAUAACUGCUCAGGUUUGAAUCACAAAAAGGUGUUCGACGAAAUGCGCAAAUGGAAUAGAGCUAAUGUUGAAAUAGAUUUUGCAGAAUUUACAUUCCAGAAAUGGGCUGAAGAUGUUCCGAGUUCUGGUACUAUGAAUGUUAAAUCAUGUUAUGAGUAUUGAUAAUUUUAUAUAGUUUCAACGAAGAACACUUUAGUUAAUAAUGUUAUGACUUAUGAGUAUUGAUAAUUUGAUAUAGCUUAAAUGAAGAACUGAUUAGUUGUUUUGUAGAUUAUUGUUAUGUUUGUUAUCGGUUAUAUUUACGUCUCUGUUAUGAGUUUUUGGUGUAGGAUUUCAUAGUGAAAAUGGCGGACGCCAAGGAAGUGACAAUCCGUGCGUGGAAUGGCCGGUUCAUUAUAUUGUAAUUAUUUUAUAAAAGCACUGAUUUAAGUAUCCAUUAUCAUGGUUAUGACAUCUAUCCCCUUCUUUUAUUUAAGUAUUUAGAUGAUGAGAAGGUGAAAGGAUAUAAUACGCGUCUUGUAACUGUUAGUGAAGUAGGUAUAUAUGAAACUUAAUGUGUUUUGAAUGGGUUUAUUUAUUUUUUUGUUGGGUAGAUAUGAUAAGUAUAGUUUUUGGAAAAGGUAAACCGGACUAGCGGGGUUGGGUGUGUAAGGCUGGUUGGAUGGGUCUUCCAAACCGGCCAAAAUGGUUCGCUUUUAGCGGUUAUGAUAUUUUGUUUAUUGAUUAUGGUUAGCAUUAGAUUUUGGCAUUGCCUAAUUGUUCUAUUUUGUUUGUAAUAUGAAUCCAUCAAUUGUUCUAUUUUGUUUGUAAUAUGAAUCCAUCUUUAGGUGUACUAGCAAAAUAGUCAACACUGAAGAUGUUCUCGAAUUCACGAUUUGAGGCCUAUAUCUUGAGAUAUAAGUGGAAGUAGAAAGUAUAACCAAAGACUUGAAGGAAAAGGUCACACAGUUGCAGUUGGAAAAAACCAAAAGCAUGAGGAACAAAUGGGGUCACUGGUUAAACACAACAAUGAUCGAGAACAGGACGAUCCUAACCACCAAUGAUCUUGACGGAUUUGAUAAGAAAUCAAAAGAACAAUAAGGAGCACAAACCUCAGAUACCAGCCGCUGUCUUCCCUCAAUAUCAGCAGCUAAAGCUCGCCAAUCAUCACCCGGUACCUCCAUUAAUAAAGCAGACCUUGAGAAUGACGGGUAGUUACGUCUCUGAAUAUGAUUAUCUUCUGAAGUAGAAGAAGAGCCACCAGAAAACUGAGAAAAAUGACCUCUAUGCCCUCCAUAUUCCACCUCCGACGACGGAAAAAGUGUCCAAGGUGGAAACUCAGACGAUCUUUGCUGACUUGGCGUUGCGUGGUUAUUACGUUGAGGUGCCCAUACUCCAUUAAAACCACGAGAACCCCCAGAACCACCACUGCUACCGCCACUGCCGCCGGUAGCUAAGCUCCAAUUUGUAGGAUCUUGUACCGAAUUCCGACUCUCGGAUGGCGGAACAAAAUUAUGUAUCUGCACAUUGUUUCUUAGCAAGCUUGAAGAACUCCCGCUUCUUGAACCGGUAUUACCACCCCACGGAAAGUGAUAUGCGUUUCUUGGAAAAUUUGGAACGUGCGUUAACGGUGGUUGUUGAUUUGAAUGAUUACCGACUUGCCCUCGGUCCAAAAACUCAUUAAGCAAAAGUUGUCUACUAGAUGAUCGGUGAGAUGAGUUACCAUUUGGGUGCCUAAUAUUGUUAUUAAUAUUAUUAUUAUUAUUAUUAUUAUUAAGAAGCGAGCCUCUAAUGCCAAAAUGUGUUGGUGUUGGUGAACUUUCUUGAACUUCGAUUCUUGUGUUUGGAGGUUCAUGACGGUUGACCGAAACAGAGUUGACUAGAGGUGAUGAUAUAUUUAAGCUUCUAGAAGU